AAGUCGUAACAAGGUCUCCGUUGGUGAACCAGCGGAGGGAUCAUUACAGAGUUACACAACUCACCAAACCAUUGUGAACCGACCCUUCUGUUGCUUCGGCGGGAGGCGCCUCGGCGCCCCUCGGCCGAUCCCCCGCCCCCGCGGCGUGGGGGGAGGCUCCCGCCGGAGGAAUACCCCAAACCCUUUUGCAGCACAUGGCCUCUCUGAGUUUAUGUACUGAAUAAGUCAAAACUUUCAACAACGGAUCUCUUGGUUCUG
rnacentral:misc_RNA from 1 species